UACGAAGGGGGCUAGCGUUGUUCGGAUUUACUGGGCGUAAAGCGCACGUAGGCGGAUCGUUAAGUCGGGGGUGAAAUCCUGGAGCUCAACUCCAGAACUGCCUUUGAUACUGGCGAGCUUCGAGUUCGGGAGAGGUGAGUGGAACUGCGAGUGUAGAGGUGAAAUUCGUAGAUAUUCGCAAGAACACCAGUGGCGAAGGCGGCUCACUGGCCCGAUACUGACGCUGAGGUGCGAAAGCGUGGGGAGCAAACAGG
rnacentral:rRNA from 1 species